rnacentral:lncRNA from 1 species
CCCACGAGUUGUCCCUGCCCUCAGAUUUGAUGGAGAAGUACGUUGGAAAGGCGCCUUCCUAUAUGCGUGCUUUUUGUUUGAGUCUGGUGGAAGGGGCAGUUCUGCGCAUGCUCCAGUUGCUGGAAAAUCACUGGACUGCUCGCACAGACCUACAACUACCGUAAACUUUAGAUCACUGAGAACUUGUAUGCAGGAUUCGACCUUACAUUCUUCGUCCAAGCGUUCUGCUAGAAUGUUUUCAGUAUCGAUUCUUCAACGAGGUCUAACUGCUUUGAAACACUACUGACGUUGUUGCUUAGAUGUCUGUAUUCGUACCCAGACUCGCUUGCUCACAGCACGCAUAAAUACUUAGCCGGCUUCUGGUGGAAAUCAACUUGAGUUGACAGUUGACGUCCUACCUCAGACGACGCUGAAGCUACGAUGACGCGACGAGUAAAAUUACGGUUUGACGACUAACUCCCGGUAAAUCUGUGAGGGUGCAUAUACGUUGCUAUGUUAGAACGCGUGCUCAGAAUCCUGUGUAAAGUAGUUCUAUUUAUUAUUUAUCGUAGUCGGGAUUCUGGGCACUAAUUAUCCUGGUGCUCUUAUUCUGGUAUAUUUGGGUUGGCUACGUCGCGACGCAUGCGCGCUAAAACAUGGUCUAAAACAUGCGAGUUAUUUCAUG